GCCUGGGGGGCUCAGUCGGUUGAGCAUCUGACUUCGGCUCAGGUCGCGAUCUCACGGUUCAUGGGUUCGUGGGUUUGAGCCCCACGUUGGGCU
rnacentral:tRNA from 1 species